UAGGGAAUCUUCCACAAUGGACGCAAGUCUGAUGGAGCAACGCCGCGUGAGUGAAGAAGGUUUUCGGAUCGUAAAGCUCUGUUGUUGGUGAAGAAGGAUAGAGGUAGUAACUGACCUUUGUUUGACGGUAAUCAAUUAGAAAGUCACGGCUAACUACGUGCCAGCAGCCGCGGUAAUACGUAGGUGGCAAGCGUUGUCCGGAUUUAUUGGGCGUAAAGCGAGUGCAGGCGGCUCGAUAAGUCUGAUGUGAAAGCCUUCGGCUCAACCGGAGAAUUGCAUCAGAAACUGUCGAGCUUGAGUACAGAAGAGGAGAGUGGAACUCCAUGUGUAGCGGUGAAAUGCGUAGAUAUAUGGAAGAACACCAGUGGCGAAGGCGGCUCUCUGGUCUGCAACUGACGCUGAGGCUCGAAAGCAUGGGUAGCGAACAGG
rnacentral:rRNA from 1 species